AUGUGGAGCAGUUCUGCGAGUUUUCGGGCUAAGGAGAAGCUGGAGCUCGUGCACGGAGACCUGUGCGGUCCGGUGACGCCAGCCACACCAGGAGGUCGACGCUACUUCCUGCUGCUCGUCGACGAUCUCUCCCGCUACAUGUGGGUGAUGAUCCUCGGCAGUAAGGGAGAAGCGGCGGACGCCAUCAGGCGCGCGCAGGUUGGUGUGGAGGCGGAGAGCGGCCGCAAAUUGCGCGUGUUGCGCACUGACAACGGCGGCGAGUUCACGGCGGCUGAAUUCGCGUCGUACUGCGCCGAUGAGGGCAUCCAGCGCCACUACUCCGCGCCGUACAGCCCGCAGCAAAACGGCGUCGUCGAGCGGCGCAACCAGACGGUUGUGGGGAUGGCUCGGGCUCUCCUCAAGCAGAGAGGGAUGCCGGCUGUCUUCUGGGGAGAGGCGGUGCUAACGGCCGUCUACAUCCUCAACCGCUCUCCUACUAAGGCACUCGACGGCAGAACUCCGUACGAGGCCUGGCAUGGGCGGAAGCCGGCGGUCUCUCAUUUGCGGGUCUUUGGCUACCUUGCGUUCGCCAAGGAGCUCGGCCACAUCGGCAAGCUCGACGACAGGAGCACUCCGGGAGUCUUCAUCGGCUACGCGGAGGGCUCAAAGGCCUACCGCAUCCUCGACCCAAAGACACAACGUGUGCGCACAGCGCGAGACGUCGUGUUCAACGAAGGGCGAGGGUGGCAAUGGGACAAGGCGGUGGACGACGGCUCGACGCCGACGUAUGACGACUUCAUUGUCGAGUACGCUCACUUCAAGGAAGCUGGGGGACCGGCGACGCCGCAUACUCCAGCCCCGGCGGUCGCCACUCCGGGCUCGUCUUCAUCAGCACCAGCUCACGCAGAGCACAACCCGAUGAAGUUCGCUUCCCCGCUCACUCAAGACGAGGAGCAGGUCGACGCAUGGUAUGGAGGCGAACCGCUGCGGUACCGUACGAUGGAUAAUGUGCUCGGCGACCAGCCGGUGCCAGGACUGGUGCCACGUGACCUGGAGGCGCAGCUACAGCUCGUGUGUGAAGACGGCGAACCACGGUCCUUUGCAGAGGCCGAGAGAGACGCGGCAUGGCGCGCCGCGAUGAAGUUGGAGAUGGAUGCGGUCGAGCAAAACCGCACCUGGGAGCUUGCUGAUCUCCCUCGAGGUCACCGCGCAAUCACCCUUAAGUGGGUGUUCAAGCUGAAGAGGGAUGGAGCCGGCGCCAUCAUCAAGCACAAGGCUCGUUUGGUGGCCCGAGGCUUCUUGCAGCAGGAAGGAGUCGACUUCGACGACGCUUUCGCUCCCGUGGCACGGAUGGAGUCCUCGGCAUUCCUCAAUGGUGACUUGAAGGAGGAAGUCUACGUGCAUCAGCCACCGGGGUUUACGAUUCCCGGCCAGGAGGGCAAGGUGCUCCGCCUGCGCAAGGCUCUCUAUGGCCUGCGGCAGGCACCCAGGGCGUGGAACGCCAAGCUGGACUCCACGCUGAAGAAGAUGGGUUUCGAGCAGAGCCCGCAUGAGGCUGCCGUCUACCGACGGGGGAGUGGAGGAAAUGCCCUGCUGGUGGGCGUCUACGUUGACGACCUGGUGAUCACCGGCACCAAAGGUGCAGAGGUGGCGGCGUUCAAGGAAGACAUGAAGGCCACGUUCCAGAUGAGUGACCUGGGGCUCCUCUCCUUCUAUCUAGGGAUUGAGGUGCACCAGGACCACUCCGGGAUCGCGCUUCGACAGUCCGCCUACGCCAAGCGCAUCGUUGAGCUAGCUGGGCUCACCGACUGCCAUCCAGCUCUCACUCCGAUGGAGGAGAGGCUGAAACUAAGCCGCGACAGCACGACGGAGGAAGUGGAUGCUACGCAGUACCGACGCCUUGUGGGGAGCCUUCGCUACCUCACUCACACACGGCCGGACUUGGCAUUCUCCGUCGGCUAUGUCAGUCGGUGUCCUGGGGCGGCACACUUCGUCGGGUACAGCGACAGCGACCACGCCGGCGACAUCGACACCAGCAAGAGCACGAGCGGGAUCCUCCUCUUCCUCGGCAAGUGUCUCGUGAGCUGGCAAUCAGUCAAGCAGCAGGUGGUGGCCCUGUCCAGCUGUGAGGCUGAGUACAUAGCGGCCUCCACCGCCUGUACUCAGGCGCUCUGGCUUGCUCGACUACUUGGUGAUCUUCUCGUUCAAGACACCAGAACGGUGCAGCUCCUGGUGGACAGCAAGUCCGCCCUGGCCCUGGCAAAGAACCCCGUGUUCCACGAACGGAGCAAGCACAUCCGACUGAGGUAUCACUUCAUCCGCAGCUGUGUGGAAGAAGGGAGCAUCGAGGCGAGCUACAUCAACACCAAGGAUCAGCUCGCAGACCUGCUCACCAAGCCCCUUGGGAGGGUCAAGUUCCUCGAACUUUGCUCCAGGAUUGGGAUGAUUCAACUCUCCCACAAGACGACGUACAAGACUUAG
rnacentral:rRNA from 1 species